UGGGGAAUUUUGGACAAUGGGCGAAAGCCUGAUCCAGCAAUGCCGCGUGUGUGAAGAAGGCCUUCGGGUUGUAAAGCACUUUUGUCCGGAAAGAAAUCCUUGGCUCUAAUACAGUCGGGGGAUGACGGUACCGGAAGAAUAAGCACCGGCUAACUACGUGCCAGCAGCCGCGGUAAUACGUAGGGUGCAAGCGUUAAUCGGAAUUACUGGGCGUAAAGCGUGCGCAGGCGGUUUGCUAAGACCGAUGUGAAAUCCCCGGGCUCAACCUGGGAACUGCAUUGGUGACUGGCAGGCUAGAGUAUGGCAGAGGGGGGUAGAAUUCCACGUGUAGCAGUGAAAUGCGUAGAGAUCUGGAGGAAUACCGGUGGCGAAGGCGGCCCCCUGGGCCAAUACUGACGCUCAUGCACGAAAGCGUGGGGAGCAAACAGGAUUAGAUACCCUGGUAGUCCACGCCCUAAACGAUGUCAACUAGUUGUUGGGGAUUCAUUUCCUUAGUAACGUAGCUAACGCGUGAAGUUGACCGCCUGGGGAGUACGGUCGCAAGAUUAAAACUCAAAU
rnacentral:rRNA from 1 species